GCAUAUCAAUAAGCGGAGGAAAAGAAACCAACAGGGAUUGCCCCAGUAACGGCGAGUGAAGCGGCAACAGCUCAAAUUUGAAAUCUGGCCCCCAGGGCCCGAGUUGUAAUUUGCAGAGGAUGCUUUUGGCGCGGCGCCUUCCGAGUUCCCUGGAACGGGACGCCAUAGAGGGUGAGAGCCCCGUCUGGUCGGACGCCAAGCCAGUGUAAAGCUCCUUCGACGAGUCGAGUAGUUUGGGAAUGCUGCUCUAAAUGGGAGGUAUAUGUCUUCUAAAGCUAAAUAUAGGCCAGAGACCGAUAGCGCACAAGUAGAGUGAUCGAAAGAUGAAAAGCACUUUGAAAAGAGGGUUAAACAGUACGUGAAAUUGUUGAAAGGGAAGCACUUGUGACCAGACUUGGGCCCGGUGAAUCAUCCAGCGUUCUCGCUGGUGCACUUCGCCGGGCUCAGGCCAGCAUCAGUUCGCCGCGGGGGACAAAAGCUUCGGGAACGUGGCUCCCUCGGGAGUGUUAUAGCCCGUUGCACAAUACCCUGCGGUGGACUGAGGUUCGCGCUCCGCAAGGAUGCUGGCGUAAUGGUCACCAGUGACCCGUCUUGAAACACGGACCAAGGAGUCGUCUUCGUAUGCGAGUGUUCGGGUGUCAAACCCCUACGCGUAAUGAAAGUGAACGCAGGUGAGAGCUUCGGCGCAUCAUCGACCGAUCCUGAUGUUCUCGGAUGGAUUUGAGUAAGAGCAUACGGGGCCGGACCCGAAAGAAGGUGAACUAUGCCUGUAUAGGGUGAAGCCAGAGGAAACUCUGGUGGAGGCUCGCAGCGGUUCUGACGUGCAAAUCGAUCGUCAAAUAUGGGCAUGGGGGCGAAAGACUAAUCGAACCUUCUAGUAGCUGGUUUCCGCCGAAGUU
rnacentral:rRNA from 1 species